GUCAGGUGCAGUGGUGCGUGCCUGUAGUCCCAGCUGCUCGGGAGGCUGAGGCUGGAGGAUUGCUUGAGUCUAGGAGUUCUGGGCUGUAGUGCGCUAUGCUGAUCAGGUGUCCGCACUAAGUUCAGCAUCAAUAUGGUGACCUCCUGGGAGCAGGGAACCAUUAGGUUGCCUAAGGAGGGGUGAGCCGGCCAAGGUCAGAAAUGGAGCAGGUCAAAACUCCCGUGCUGCUCAGUAAUGGGAUCGUGCCUGUGAAUAGCCACUGCACUCCAGCAUGGGUAACAUGGUGAGACCCAGUCUCU
rnacentral:SRP_RNA from 1 species